rnacentral:rRNA from 13 species
GAAAGGCCAAUCAAACCGGGAGAUAGCUGGUUCUCCCCGAAAUCUAUUUAGGUAGAGCCUCGGACGAACACCAUUGGGGGUAGAGCACUGUUAAGGCUAGGGGGUCAUCCCGACUUACCAAACCGAUGCAAACUCCGAAUACCUACAAGUGCCGAGCAUGGGAGACACACGGCGGGUGCUAACGUCCGUCGUGAAGAGGGAAACAACCCAGACCGCCAGCUAAGGUCCCAAAAUAU